UCUCUAAAAUGACUUGUAUUUAGGAACGGAGGGAGUAGAAAAUACAUUUACUAGCAAAAAUUACCAAUACUGUAUGUUCUCUGAAGUUAUUGGCAAUGUUCUAUCAAAAUUACCACAAUGGAGACAAAUCUGGUAACAGUAAAUAAAACCACCAAAUGCAGUAUGCCCAAGUUGCUUCGCUAACUAAUGUGGGAUAAGACUUGUAUCUUCAGCUGACAAUUCCCCGAGGAACAAAAGAAAAACCUGUCUACAUAAGCAUGUCUGUAGAUCUUCGUUAGACAAUCAGUUAGACAGGCAAAAAAGGGCGGCAGGGCAAAAUAUUUAUUCAAACUGCUGUGCAUAACAAAAGCCAUCCUUCAGCUCAUUCAGGAAGGAACCAAGAGAUUAUCACAAUGUGAUUCGCCCACACACACGCCAGUAUGCUCCAGGGUGGAAAAGGGAUCUUUCAAACACCCAUAUGUCUUUCACCAGUACCUACACAAUGAUUUGCAGAUGCCAAACAUACAUCAGGAGAUUGUUUCGCCAUGCAAGCCCAACUGUUCGACUGUCGUAGAGGUAUUACUUAGUACUCCCAAUAAAGGUAUAUUACAGAUAUCGGUAAAGCAGUGGGAUGUAGGAAAAGGUAAUGCCCCCCAAUGUUCAAAUACCUGGCUGUAAGCAGCUAUUUAAUAUAAAACAUCGAUUUACAGGUUAUUAUAUCAAACUAGAUACUUCAGGAAGCACACUUGCCUAAUAAGGUCGCAUAGCAAUCACAAUUGUGACGGACAACAAAAUCAUGGACUAGUUAUUGACUGGUACUUGGCCAAAUACAGUAAUUUUCCAAAUCAUGAACUAUUACUAGCUACUCCCUCCGUUCCAUAAUUCUUGUCGUGGUUUUAGUUCAAAUUAUGGAACGGAGGGAGUAGUGCAUGGCUAAAUACGGUAGUUUCCAUUCAGCAUCAAUCUGUAUUCUGGCUUCCAGCAUGCUAACGAUAUGGAAUGUUGAUCCUGCUUUGACUCAUGUGUACUUAAUGUCAGCAAGCGGUCGGUGGACAACUAGUGGCCAGAAGAUAAAGGCAAAUGAGAAAGAAGAAGGAGCAGGGUCGAGUGAAAGAAUUGGUACAUUGGGUCCCCCCCACCGAGCGGAGCCAAAGGAAAGACAAGGGUUGAGGUAAUCGCUAUGAGUGUUCAGGCUAUUCCGCUUAUGCUCGCGGAUGCGGAUAAGAAGCUAUCAAAAGGGGAUGAUAGCAGCCACCCAUAUGGGCAGCUAGAAAGAGAACGAGGAAAUGUGAAUCACGAUCCUUAUUUGGUAGAGGAGUCGGGGGACAUUGGUUCGAAUCCAAUUCGUGAAUAUCAGAAAGCAUUGUUUCUCAUUGAACUAUAUACGAUACGCGCGCACGAGGAAGGGAUAAAUUGAUUGCGUUGCAGUCAUUUUCCAUCAGAUUCUUACGGAUGUAGUGCAAAGUAAAUGUUUCAGUCAAAAGUAAGCUGCCGACUAUGAUGAAUGCCAGCCCGAUCUGUAGCUGAUCUUUGAUCCCGAGCUUGAGCUUCUCUUUGAUGUCGGGUGAAUUGAAUUUCAUAUAUGGAGAAAUGUGUCGCUAGUCCAAGUCCGCUAUAGAAUUGUUUGUCUAUCACUUCGGCAAUGAAGGUCAUUUCUUUAGAAGAUCGAUACUGGUAGUUGCUUGCGGUGUCUGAACAAGUUUCGAAAAAACUACUGUGUCUGCAUUUUCCUAAAGAUUGAUGUGAGGCUGAUAGUGAUAUCUUUCCAAUAACUGACUCAGCAGGUUCAAUUGAGGUAUCAUUCAAUUGAGAUUUCGAACCGUGUAGUGGUUAGGAUCCUCUUAUUGCCGUCAAGGGCUAUUUUGGUCGAUUCCAGCCAAAGAGUUAUGAAUAGAAAUAGCAGACCUGAUUCGAGACAACAGGAAGUUCCCGUUUGCAGAUAUACAUUUCUCAGGUUCAGGCUAUUCGUGGAGUCGAUCACCACCACUUGAGAUAGACGAUCAACUUCAUUAAAGAAGCAGUCAUCUCUAUACAGGAAGCAGCAUGUUUUCUAUGGUCCUAUGAAAAGGUUCCAGUGGGUUUCUCUUGCUGAAUGGUGGUAAAACACCAGCUUUCAUUCCUCACUGCAAGCUACUCCUUUUGCUGCUUUUUCUCACUCUUUGCCUGGGCCAACGAUAGAUUAGUCUCUGGGUCGGUCAAGUGAUAAAUUGGCGAGAUUAGUUAAGGAAACUGGGACUUCUGAUUGUUCGCGAGGGAUGGCUGAAUAACCUACUUUGCUUUCCAUUUAGGGUAAUAGGAUGCCACUACUUGACCUUGCUUGCCCAGACACAAGAUAACCUAUAGUUUGGGUACUGCCCUUCGUGGUGCUUGCUUUCCUAUAAUCUGUAAAGCUUUAGCUUUUAGAGAAGAGAUUUCAGUAUCCAAUUGCUUUUCUGACUGGAAUUCUCUAGUUCACUUCACUUCUACGCAAUGUCAUUUCUUGAUUCAAAGUACUUAUUUUCUGAUUGGAAUUUCGAUCUCUUGGCAACAGGUUUCGCUUCUGCUGAGGACAAAUUGAACAAGCUACUUCUCAAGUCCAGGUGGGCUUUUGAAUUCAGAGAAGGGAAUUCCAGUUCUGAUUCUAGUCUCUGUGCUCUGUUCAGUUCAGUUCAAGAUGGGAAAGUAUUGCUUGUUUCCUAGAAUCCUAAAAGGGGUGCUUGUUUUCCUCGUCCGGGCUCUCCUCUCCCCUUUCUGUCCCAACCUUCAUUCCUGCUUUUCCGCCAAUUCACUAAUUGAAAUAGUUCAGAUCCAGCACUUAUAUCCCUUUUAUAUAUAGAAUCAGGUAUCUGCUUUCCAUGGUUCCUAAUUUCGGUAUCUUUCUUGUCUGCACUUGAUGAAAUCCCUUUCUUUUCUUCUUGGCAUACAGAUUGGAUUCUUGUUGAUCCAAUCGAAACUCUUGAAUUGAGGGGUGGCCGUGAAAGAAUCACUGUUUUGAUGAUAUGAAUGAAAACAAGAGAUUUCGUUCUUCAUGGCAUAUUUCAAGACUAGGGUACCUGCAUUCUAGGUCUAGGACUUGUUGCUUCGGAUCAGUUCCCUUUAGAAGCAGUUUUCCUCUUCUUCAAUCUCGAAUCCCGAAGGGGAGGCUCUAGUUGCCAAGUAAGAAAAGAUCUCGGUAGUUCAAUUCAUGCAUGUGAAAGCUUAUCUGCCAGAUACAGAUGAUACUUGCCACUACUUGACCGAAACUGGGACUUGAGGAGGAAUGAAAUUCUAAGGGAAAUCAAUCAACUAAUUGAAAUAGUGAUAUCGGUAUCGGAACUCUGGAGAAGGGCCCGGCCUAAGCGCCCUCUUGAGACUUGGACUCGAAAGAGGGAAAGAUUAGUGGGUCAAUAACCAAGUUCCCCGAUUGGAUUCCAGUAUCUGAUCAAGCCGAAGUAAGCAAGUUCCGGAUUCGAGUUUCCUUUUCUGACUUGAAUUCAAGUAGGAUUCCACAUCCACUCGGUAUUCUAGCUGUACCAAGUCUUUUUCUUCACUCUUUAGAGGGAAAGUAUGCUUUGGAUUUUCUCAGUGAUACAGGUAUGCUUGCCAACCCUGCUGCAUUGUCUUGAUCUCUCCCUGGGAUUCGGAACUUGGAUCUGGGAAAGGAGGCUUAAGAAGAAUAUGACUCCAUAUUAGUAGUAGUAUGUUGCACUAGACUCAUAUGAUUAGGAAGCGAUAGAAGUUAUCGAAAGCAAAAAGGAUAGGGGCAAGAAAAGGGUUUGAGAGUUCAUUCUCACCCCUACAAACUUUCUUUUCUUCUUGGCGUACAGAAUUCUCUGCCUUUAGUCACCCUUAGCGCGAACCAUCUUCUUUUCGAAGGACGGAGUCGAGACUCCUAUCUAUUCGUAACACUUGCACGAUGAACUAUUCGUCCCACUAUCUCCCUUUCCAUGAGACCUACUAUACCCCUUUUCUACCUAUACCUGGCUAGACUCGUGUACCUCGAUUUAUGUACAUUCACCUAAUUUACUAACAUUAUUGCCUGCAAUCGAGCAAAUACCAAUAAGACAUUGAUCUCUAAGGAGCUGUUACGAAGUGUCGCAGUCGCUGCUAACGGUACGAUUUUCUAUCACGUUUUUUUUUCAUUAACGUGAUUGCACCCACUAGUUUACUGCUUGCUUUAGCUUAGCUUUCCCGAAACCAUCAACUCUAGCUUUUUGAGCAGGUUUUUACCAAUCUGGUAUCCGCUGCUGAUCCAUAUUCUCAGAUACCCGCUUUCUUUGGUUAUAUACGCUCACGGGUAUCUGAGCAAUUCUUCCUGUUGCUUUUACAAAACUUCCCUCUUGAUGCUAAACCAUAGCUCUAACUGAGUAAAAUUCCACAAUUUCUAAGAACGAUAUGCUUUUUUGCAUUUUCCACUGUGAAAGCUUCUCUCAAUCCCUCCCUAGUCCUUUCUUUCCUGGGCACAGGCUUACCUGGUUGACCGCCCACAUUCAUUCAUUGUUCAUUCUGUUGUGGAAUCGAACCACAGAGCUAGCGCAAUUGGGAUUUAGAGUCCCAUGCGUGAAACUAAAGAGGAUUUUCAGUCCUCUGCUCUACCAGCCAGAACCUAGAAGGACACUUCACACCCGAUUUGACACAGCUAGACUAGAAACACUGCUUGUCAAGAGCACAGACCCCAGUAUAGAAUACUUUUUUGAGUAUGUUGGUAAGGUCCGGUCAUCCGCUUCUGUGCUUGCACUUCUGCGUAACUAGGGGUGCAAGUCCAGUACAGCGUACUUUCAUAAUUGAAUCAAAAGCGUCGAUACAUGAAAAAUCUCUAUAUACGAUAUUUAUGACACAGAAUGUUGUUCUUUCAACAUGAUUCCUCAACAAUUUUGUCAUUGUAACUGACUCUCCGUUCUCUCCGUUCCACUUUGGUUUUCGACUAAUAAUUACCAUGAUGAAUUUCUCUUACUGCUUGGUUCCGCAUUGGAUUUUGGAAACUUUUGUUUAGAAAGUGGUGUCACGACCGUGGGGAUCAAAUGGAUGGUUCAGGAAAGUCUAGUGAAGCGGCAAGGUCUAAU
rnacentral:lncRNA from 1 species